CCCUUAGAUGUCCUGGGCCGCACGCGCGCUACACUGACAUGUUCAACAAGCCUCCUAGUUCGACAGGAUUUGGGAAAUCUUUGAACGCAUGUCGUGAUAGGGAUAGAUCAUUGCAAUUAUUGAUCUUGAACGAGGAAUUCCUAGUAAACGCGAGUCAUCAGCUCGCAUUGAUUACGUCCCUGCCCUUUGUACACACCGCCCGUCGCACCUACCGAUUGAAUGUUUCGGUGAAGAUUCCGGAUAGGACUUUUUUGAUUUAUUUUAAUUUUGUCUUAAAAGCUAUCUAAACCUCAACAUUUAGAGGAAGGUGAAGUCGUAACA
rnacentral:rRNA from 1 species